rnacentral:lncRNA from 1 species
GGGUAAAAGUAAGUGCUGUAAUUAGGCUGUUAGUGGUAAGGAGUGGGUGGAGGAGAGGUGAUCUAGAGUCUUAUGAGUAGGUCUUGGUCUUUAGUGAGCCUGCACCAUCAAAAUGUGAACUUUACACAUGCUUCUCAGUUGUUUGCCCCCCUUCAUUAGGAUGGCUAGAGUGGGAUGUCAUUGGGUAUGAACCUUCUUCCAUGCAGAAGGCUGGAGAGGGCAGGAGUUGGGUUUUCCCUUCCCGAGGUCAAUUAAGCUCUGAUUAACACCAGCUGGUUAGGCUCUAGCUAAAUAUUUCCACCUGAGGACAGACAUUUUUUAAGAAAAGCCGGGUGCUCUGAUGAAUUUCAAAAUGAUUCCUUUUCCUCUCCACCUGUCAGAAGCACAAGAGGAUCUUUCUCCAAUAUUCAUCGUGAGAACCUCAUCCAGCUCCUGGAGUUAUGGCCUCGAAUCUGAUUGAUAGAUAGAUCGAGAAAUAGACACACACUUUGGACACCAAAAUGCAAUUUGAAGUGUCUCCCUACUCACACAAUUACAGGCAUGAUGGAGUUAGCCUCAUCACACAUCAAGAUAACUAAAGACAAAUGUCUUUUUGUUGUGUGAAUGAGCCUUCUGGCUUUGAACUAACGUCUGGUAAUGUCUGGCUGGGUCAUAUGUACUGUAGUGACAAGAAAAUCUCAAGACUUCUGCUUCUAACGAUGAUGGAGUAUUGGACUUCCCCUAGUGCUAGAAAUCAUUAGGAAACUGGACAGAAUAUGUAAAGCGGCUCUGUUCACAUAUGGAUAACCUGCAGGACCAGCUGUGGUCAAUGAAAAAAGGGUACACAAAUGAAGUUCACGCAACAGCAGCUCCUGCUUUCUGCUGGGGAGAAACGGAAGAUAUCAAAAUAAAAAGAAUUUCUAGAGACCAGAAAUACAACUGAAAUAAAAAUUUUUCAAGAUGAGGUAAACAUCAGAUUACAUUAGAUAAACAUCCGCAGAAGAUCAGUGAACCUGAAAAAAAAUACAGCAAUAGAAACUAUCCAAACUGAAGCAGAGAAUUAAAAAGACUGUAAAAGAAGAAAAGAAACAGGACUCAGUGGCCCGUGGGAUAAUAUCAAACAACCUGAGUUCCAUGUAACAGAGGCCUUCUUGUGCAGAAGCCAGGCAGAUAAGAGGGCUGUGGAGCAAUGGACUAAAGAUAGAGCAAAGACAAGUAAGGCGUAUAUAAAUACCCUUUUUCAUGGAAAAAUCUGCCAAGUUGCUUAAUUUUCAUGGUGUGAAUAGGAAUGUGAGGAGGAAGAAUGAAUGAGGAAUAAAAAAGAUUCUGCAAAUGAGAAAAAUAGGUAUGGAGUAAUAUUCUUAAUAUAGAUUAUAAUUUCAUAAUGAAAAUGGCAAAGAAACAAUUGUGGUAUGG